UGCGGCAAGUGGAGUGGUGGUCUCAUCGCUUUUAUACGAGAAAAGUGAGAUUCAACUUCUCCGACUUACCGUU
rnacentral:pre_miRNA from 1 species